rnacentral:rRNA from 1 species
CCCAGAGCUUAACUCUGGAACUGCCAUCAAAACUUUUCAGCUAGAGUAUGAUAGAGGAAAGCAGAAUUUCUAGUGUAGAGGUGAAAUUCGUAGAUAUUAGAAAGAAUACCAAUUGCGAAGGCAGCUUUCUGGAUCAUUACUGACACUGAGGAACGAAAGCAUGGGUAGCGAAGAGGAUUAGAUACCCUCGUAGUCCAUGCCGUAAACGAUGUGUGUUAGACGUUGGAAAUUUAUUUUCAGUGUCGCAGCGAAAGCGAUAAACACACCGCCUGGGGAGUACGACCGCAAGGUUAAAACUCAAAUGAAUUGACGGGGACCCGCACAAGUAGUGGAGCAUGUGGUUUAAUUCGAAGAUACGCGCAGAACCUUACCAACACUUGACAUGUUCGUCGCGACUCUAAGAGAUUAGAGUUUUCGGUUCGGCCGGACGAAACACAGGUGCUGCAUGGCUGUCGUCAGCUCGUGUCGUGAGAUGUUGGGUUAAGUCCCGCAACGAGCGCAACCCUCACUUUUAGUUGCCAUCAUUUAGUUGGGCACUCUGAAAGAACUGCCAGUGAUAAGCUGGAGGAAGGUGGGGAUGACGUCAAGUCCUCAUGGCCCUUACGUGUUGGGCUACACACGUGCUACAAUGGCAUCUACAACAGGAAGCAAAACGGCAACGUUAAGCAAAUCCCGAAAAGAUGCCUCAGUUCGGAUUGCACUCUGCAACUCGAGUGCAUGAAGCUGGAAUUACUAGUAAUCGUGGAUCAGCGUGCCACGGUGAAUGCGUUCCCGGGUCUUGUACACACCGCCCGUCACACCAUGGGAGUUGGUUCUACCUUAAGGCAAGGUUUUAAACCCUUGACCACGGUAUAGUCAGCGACUGGGGUGAAGUCGUAACAAGGUAAC